GCCUGGCUGGCUCAGCUGGUAGAAUAUGAGACUCUUGAUCUCAGGGUUGUAAGUUCGAGACCCACGUUGGGUG
rnacentral:tRNA from 1 species